rnacentral:misc_RNA from 1 species
GGUCUUAGUACUAAAGAGCUAAUGCCUCCUUUAGUCCUUUCUGCCUCUUGGGUGUGUAAUAAGAGGCUGCUUAAGAAGAAGGACCAGCCCCCACAACAUCAACUACAGCAAGAUCCGCAUUUGUUUCAGAAUCCGACUCAUCAGGCCUAUCGGAUAAAUGAGUCACGGACCGGAAACCAAAAAAGAAUAUCGAGACCCCCGUGAACACUUACUUAAUGUGUCUAGCGCAGAAGGGAUCCUUGUAAGAAAAGACCGCGGUUAGAAAGCUUACAAAAUAAAAGAAGGGAAUCGAAGAAUUGAAUCCCAUUUGGUUUGGUUGCUAGCGAGUGAGGGAAUCGCUCUGCUAGGUCGAAGCAAAGAAGGAAGGUCAAGGGAAAGAGAUAAGAAGUAGUUCCAAUCCCAGAGGGAAAUUCCGUAGAUAUAAUAAGAUAUUUGAUCCGAAAAUAAGGUGUUACACAAGGCAAACCAUGAAGUAGCUCUCAUGGCCGAAUGUCUUCAAAUGCUCCAUAAGUAAAGCAUGAAGCUCCUUGGCUCUAGCUCUAGUGAUAGGACCUUUGUAGGUUGGCAAUGGUGUCGUUCCAUGAUCCUCAUCAUCCCCUCCUUCUUCGAAAGAAUUCGUCCUCGAA